rnacentral:rRNA from 1 species
UACGAAGGGGGCUAGCGUUGUUCGGAAUUACUGGGCGUAAAGCGCACGUAGGCGGAUAUUUAAGUCAGGGGUGAAAUCCCAGAGCUCAACUCUGGAACUGCCUUUGAUACUGGGUAUCUUGAGUAUGGAAGAGGUAAGUGGAAUUGCGAGUGUAGAGGUGAAAUUCGUAGAUAUUCGCAGGAACACCAGUGGCGAAGGCGGCUUACUGGUCCGGUACUGACGCUGAGGUGCGAAAGCGUGGGGAGCAAACAGG